GCAAUCUUAAUAAAUACUAAUUAUAAUACCAAUUACGAUUGAGCUGAGUUUUGUGUUUAAAAUCAACUCAAAUAUCAUUCAUUUCAAUUUUCAACAUAAUCAAUAUCUCCAUUGUAAACUGGGAUAGAAGAAAAUUUUGUUUAUUUGAUUUAAAAGAAAACAUCAGCAUGGGUAGAGGAGGUAAAAAGAAAGGAAAAAAAGAGUCUGAGGAUAUUGGAGGAGGCUUAGGAUUGCUGUCCCUGGAGGAUCAACCUUCCACAUCAUCAGCUAUUGCUACUCAAGAAAUUACGAAAGCAGACCCACCACCUGAGAAAGAGGCAGAACCUGAAGGCGAUGGUCUUUCACUGCUGGGUGUUGGAGGUCCUAGGAAACCUAGGAAGAAGAAAAAUAAUGCACCGUCGCAAGAAGCACCAAAACCUUUAAACCCAUCUCAAGCAGCUGCAGGGCCUGGUCAACCAAGUCCUGCAUCUCAGGCUGAUGAACCUUCAGCUGGAUGUGGCCGUGGACGUGGCCGUGGAGGUGCACCGCCACAGGCCGGUAGGGGUAGAGGUGCCCCAGUCCCAGUCUGGGGCCAGAGUGAUCCCCAAGUUGGAGCCACACGCCAGGCCGCGGCAAGGCCCCCAGGACCCUGGCAAGCACCUCAACCCAUGGCCCCAGUGCCACAGAGCCAAAGUGCUCCUCAGAUUUCCCAAGCACCAAGAGCAGUGAGACCAUCGACGUCCCAAGUACCAAUUGAACAACAACGUCCACCAAGUUCAAAACCAACAUCGGUGGUGUGCCGGUUCCAAUUACCGAAAAAAAUACGGGCUAGGGUUCCCGUACCUGCUGAUGCUACGAGAGUUCUGACUAAUUAUCUCCCCAUGAGUAUAAAGCCACUAAUAAUUCAUCGCUACGACGUCGCAAUAAAGCCUGACAGGCCGAAAAAAUUUAUGUCGAGAAUAUUCCAAGCAAUGAAAAUGAAGUAUUAUCCAAAACAUAUAGUUGCAUAUGACCAAAUGAAGAAUUGCUACGCACUUAAACCUCUCUUAAAGGUUACAGAUGAACGCUUUGAAACUGAGGUUGAAAUCAAGGAUGACAACGGGAAAACUUGUAAAUAUGAAAUUGGAUUGAAAUUGACUGGAACGGUAGAUUUGGGCACGAUUUUGAGUUAUAUGCGUGAUGGGACAUCGUUAGCCCCUCCAACUGAAGCAAUUCAUUGUAUUGAUGUUGUUUUGCGUCAAGGAGCCCUCGAAAAGUAUGUGAAGGCCAGCCGUCAAUACUUCAUGCGCCCCAAGAACCCUAUCGACCUUGGAGAUGGUCUUGAAAUGUGGACUGGUUUGUUCCAGUCGGCCAUUUUUACUUCCAGGCCGUUUAUCAAUAUAGAUGUUGCCCAUAAAGGAUUUCCGAAGUCACAGCCAUUAGUGGACACAUACAUAAAUGACUUCCGUUUGAAUGCAAACAGUCCUAUUGAAAAACAGCGUAAGAUGGAAUGCGAACUGUUUCUGAAAUUUAUCCGUGGUUUAAGGGUGGUGGCAACAAUUGGUGACGCUAAGACCGGAUUCAGAAAGCGUGAAUUUAUUUGUAAUGACCUCAAACCGCCUCCGAACGCCCUGAAAUUCACAAUGCAAGACGAUAAGGGGGUGAGGCGGAAUAUAACCGUUGAGCAAUACUUCUCUGAAAAGGGAUAUAGGCUCCGCUAUCCAAACAUUAAUUGUGUUUGGGUUGGACCCAGAGAUAAAGAGAUAUACUACCCAAUGGAGUUAUUACACGUUUCAUAUGGACAGGCCCUUAAUAGACAGUUGAAUGACAGACAACUGGCGAAAAUGGUUCGUGAAGCGGCAACACCACCUAGUGACAGAAAGCGAAAGAUCGAAGAAGUUAUUAGAGACAUGAAAUAUUCGAGUAACGAAUAUUUCAAGGAGUUUGGAUUGGAGAUCACAAACGACUUCUACCAAGUUGACGCAAAAGUUUUGCACGCGCCAGUUUUGAAUGUUGGCGAGGGGACCAUAAGACCAAGGGAGGGAGUUUGGAUGCAAAAGAAACUGCUGAAGCCCAGCGCUCUUCGGUCUUGGGGCUUCUUGGUAGUUGAAAUUGACCCUAAUAGACUGCAAUGCCAUGACAUCAUUAAAAAGAUUCAAGGUGUGGGUCGCCAAAUGGGUAUGUUGGUACAAGAUCCAGCCUUGACCAACUUCAAUGUGAAGGCCCAUGAGUUGCUCACGGUCUUCCGUCGAGCAUCAGACGCCAACGUCAACUUCCUCUUUGUUAUCGUCAGUUCAUGGAUAAGGGAUCUCUACCAAAAGGUGAAAAAAAUGGCGGAGUUGGAAGUGGGUAUUUUGACACAGUGCAUUAAAGAUCAGACAGCAGAGAGGCGUAUGAACGAACAGACCAUACGAAAUAUAUUGCUCAAGGUUAACUCAAAAUUGAUGGGUGUUAAUCAAACAAUUGGCACUGCGUCCGAGCCUGCCUGUCUUAGAAGCGGUGGGGUUAUGGUGGUAGGAGCUGAUGUGACCCAUCCAUCGCCGGAACAGACGGACAUACCAAGUAUUGCAGCGGUGACCGCAUCUUUUGACACCAAAUGCUUCCAAUACAACAUCGAAUUGAGUAUUCAAACUCCAAAGAAAGAAAUGAUCGUCGAAUUCGAAAAUAUGAUGGUGGAACACUUAAAAGUCUACAAAAAGCAUCAAAACACUCUCCCGAAGAAAAUAUUUAUCUUCCGUGAUGGGGUUUCUGAAGGACAAUUCUCUCAGGUGAUGGAUAGUGAGUUGGUGGCCGUUUACAGGGCGUAUGAACGUCUUGCGGGGUGUAAUGUGAAGCCUGAGGUUUUGUUCCUAUUAGUCCAAAAGCGUCAUCACACUAGAUUCUUUUUGGGCGCGAACAACGCACAGAACGUACGUCCUGGAACUGUCGUUGAUAAGGACAUUGUGCACAACAGCGAAAUGGACUUUUACAUGGUAUCCCAUUAUGCAAUAAAAGGCACGGCCCGUCCUACUCGUUAUUAUGGGGUGCGCAACGAUGGCAACAUUCCCAUAGAGGAAGUAGAGCAGUUGACCUAUUAUCUGUGUCAUUUAUACUCGCGCUGUACUCGCUCUGUGUCAUAUCCCACGCCCACGUACUACGCCCAUCUUGCUUGUACUCGUGCCAAACAUCUCACAGCCGGCGACAGAUUCAACAACAGAGACUUGGAGAUGAGACCACAACGGCUUCAAGUUUUGGACAGGAUGCUCGAUUUCAGCCGCAUGUUCUUUGUUUAAUCUAUUUAAAAAAAAAUGUGUCGUAAAAAACAAAAAACCAAAAAAAAAUGUAUUUUAAUGUUCUGAUACAAAAAAUGUAAAAAACAAAAACCAAAAAAAAUGUAUGUUACUGAUCUGAUACAAAAAAUCUUUUAUAAUCUGUUCGGAAAAUAAUAUAACUUAGAUGUCAAAACACGAUGUUGGUCUACAUAAUAUUUGUAAUGAACUUAUAAUUCUUUAAAUAAACAUAUUAUAACUGGUA